UAUUAUUAAAAAUGUAAUUAUAAAUACUUAAGUAGUAAUAGUUAUGUUCUUGAAACUUAAAAAAUUUGGCGGUAUUUUAGUCUAUCCAGAGGAACCUGUUUUAUAAUCGAUAAUCCACGAUGGACCUUACUUAAAUUUGUAAUCAGUUUAUAUACCGUCGUUAUCAGAAUAUUUUAUAAGAAUAAUAAUAUUCAAUAAUUUUUAUUAAAAUUUAUAUCAGAUCAAGGUGUAGCUUAUAUUUAAGUAAUAAUGGGUUACAAUAAAUAUAUUUAAACGAAAAAAAUUAUGAAAAAAUUUUUGAAGGUGGAUUUGGUAGUAAAAUUAUAAAGAUUAAUAAUUUGAUUUUAGCUCUAAAAUAUGUACACAUCGCCCGUCACUCUUAUUAUUAAGGUAAGAUAAGUCGUAACAUAGUAGAUGUACUGGAAAGUGUAUCUAGAAUGA
rnacentral:rRNA from 1 species